AAUCAACGCUGGCGGCGUGCCUAACACAUGCAAGUCGAGCGCGAAAGUGGGCUUCGGCCCGCGAGUAGAGCGGCGAACGGGUGAGUAACGCGUGGGUGAUCUACCUUCGAGUGGGGAAUAACACCGGGAAACUGGUGCUAAUACCGCAUGACAUCCUCGGUUCGUUCCGAGGAUCAAAGCCGGGGACCGCAAGGCCUGGCGCUUGAAGAGGAGCCCGCGUCCGAUUAGCUUGUUGGCGGGGUAAUGGCCCACCAAGGCUUCGAUCGGUAGCCGGCCUGAGAGGGCGGACGGCCACACUGGGACUGAGACACGGCCCAGACUCCUACGGGAGGCAGCAGUGGGGAAUUUUCCGCAAUGGGGGAAACCCUGACGGAGCAACGCCGCGUGGAGGAUGAAGGCCCUCGGGUCGUAAACUCCUGUCGAUCGGGAAGAAUGCACACGGCCCAAUACGCCGUUGUGUUGACUGUACCGGUGGAGGAAGCCACGGCUAACUCUGUG
rnacentral:rRNA from 1 species